UCCCCCCUCCAAUCAGUGAAACUGAUCUCCCCGUGAAGAAGCGGGGAUAAGUAUAUUAGACGAGAAGACCCCAUGGAGCUUUAAACCCGACAGCACCCACUUAUUUAACACCUUCUUAUCCGCCUGGCCCCUGUCUGCUCGGUUUUGGGUUGGGGUGACCGCGGAGCAUAAAAUAGCCUCCACGAAAGAAGGGAUGAUUCCCUCAUUUUAGAACUACACUUCCAAAGACUAACAAAUUAAUUUUAAGUGAUCCGAUACCCGUAUUCGAUCAACGAACCAAGUUACCCUGGGGAUAACAGCGCAAUCUACCUCAAGAGCCCCUAUCGACAGGUGGGUUUACGACCUCGAUGUUGGAUCAGGGUAUCCCAGUGGUGCAGCAGCUACCAAAGGUUCGUUUGUUCAACGAUUAAAACCCU
rnacentral:rRNA from 1 species